rnacentral:rRNA from 1 species
UGAGUAACACGUAUCCAACCUGCCGUCUACUCUUGGCCAGCCUUCUGAAAGGAAGAUUAAUCCAGGAUGGCAUCAUGAGUUCACAUGUCCGCAUGAUUAAAGGUAUUUUCCGGUAGACGAUGGGGAUGCGUUCCAUUAGAUAGUAGGCGGGGUAACGGCCCACCUAGUCAACGAUGGAUAGGGGUUCUGAGAGGAAGGUUCCCCACAUUGGAACUGAGACACGGUCCAA